UGUAGCGAGUUUGUCUGUGGUGCGCCGGGUGUACCUGUACAGCCCAUCACGUGGCCUUUUUUUAAAAACAAUGAAAACUGGUUCUUUUGGUUAACCAGUUAAACUAAGGAAAAUAAAAACUCCCGCUCGUUCAAAACCUAGGCUGCACACAGAUCGAUUUCGUCUAUCUCCUCCUCCAUAGCUUUGCACAGCCACAGCUCUAUUUCGGUGAAUUCAUAGCUGCACAGCUUCCUACAGCCUGAAGAAGCUCCCCCCACUUCGUCUUCUCCAUCUGAGGAGCAGAUUUCAGCCAAAACCCAGAAACCCACUUCGUCUUCUCCAGCUGCUUCCUCCAUCUCGUUAUGGAAGCUCAAAAAAGGGGAUCAACAAAAGGAAAGCGCAAAGUCGACAGUAAUGUGCAACAAUCAAGAGUUGGCCAGGAUGCAUUUUUUAAUUUCAUGUAAGUUACACGUACAUCUAAAAAUCGAAAAUGUAGUUGCUUAAUAUUAUGAUGGUUUUUUGAUUAAAAAUAAAUGAUUUACAAAAAAAAAAAAAA